GAAUCAGAGAGUGCAGGGAGAGAUAAUUCAAGAAGGCCAGCAGUUUGAUAUACGUUCGUCAGUUGAUGAAUUCAAGCACUAUACAAGUUCGUACAUGUUCUGGAAACCAGGAAUGGAAAUCUUUGUUUCUCAUGUCCGCAGAAGGCAGAUCCCUCCUUUUGUGUUUCCAGAAGGUCAUAGACGAUCUCGUGCUACAAGGUUGUCAGCUUUGCAACGUUCUGAUGGACCAAAUCAAGAUGAUGUACAAAAUGGUAGGAGUGGCAGUAAUGAAAGAUACCUUAAGAGGAAAAAUGAUCUCGAC
rnacentral:misc_RNA from 1 species